rnacentral:rRNA from 1 species
GAAGUGCUAGUCUAAGGUCGUAGGAGGUUGUACAGGCAAAUCCGUAUAACAAUACUCCGAGAACUGAAAGGCUUUUUGAAGUCUUCGGAUGGAUAGAAGAACCCCUGAUGCCGUCGAGCCAAGAAAAGUUUCUAAGUUUAGCUAAUGUUGCCCGUACCGUAAACCGACACAGGUGGGUGGGAUGAGUAUUCUAAGGCGCGUGGAAGAACUCUCUUUAAGGAACUCUGCAAAAUAGCACCGUAUCUUCGGUAUAAGGUGUGGUUAGCUUCGUACUAGGAUUUACUCCGAAAGCGAAGAAACUUACAACAAAGAGUCCCUCCCGACUGUUUACCAAAAACACAGCACUCUGCUAACUCGUAAGAGGAUGUAUAGGGUGUGACGCCUGCCCGGUGCUCGAAGGUUAAUUGAUGGGGUUAGCAUUAGCGAAGCUCUUGAUCGAAGCCCGAGUAAACGGCGGCCGUAACUAUAACGGUCCUAAGGUAGCGAAAUUCCUUGUCGGUUAAAUACCGACCUGCAUGAAUGGCGUAACGAGAUGGGAGCUGUCUCAAAGAGGGAUCCAGUGAAAUUGUAGUGGAGGUGAAAAUUCCUCCUACCCGCGGCAAGACGGAAAGACCCCGUGGACCUUUACUACAGCUUGACACUGCUACUUGGAUAAGAAUGUGCAGGAUAGGUGGGAGGCUUUGAGUAUAUGACGCCAGUUGUAUAUGAGCCAUUGUUGAGAUACCACUCUUUCUUAUUUGGGUAGCUAACCAGCUUGAGUUAUCCUCAAGUGGGACAAUGUCUGGUGGGUAGUUUGACUGGGGCGGUCGCCUCCCAAAUAAUAACGGAGGCUUACAAAGGUUGGCUCAGAACGGUUGGAAAUCGUUCGUAGAGUAUAAAGGUAUAAGCCAGCUUAACUGCAAGACAUACAAGUCAAGCAGAGACGAAAGUCGGUCUUAGUGAUCCGGUGGUUCUGUGUGGAAGGGCCAUCGCUCAAAGGAUAAAAGGUACCCCGGGGAUAACAGGCUGAUCUCCCCCAAGAGCUCACAUCGACGGGGAGGUUUGGCACCUCGAUGUCGGCUCAUCGCAUCCUGGGGCUGGAGCAGGUCCCAAGGGUAUGGCUGUUCGCCAUUUAAAGCGGUACGCGAGCUGGGUUCAGAACGUCGUGAGACAGUUCGGUCCCUAUCUGCCGUGGGCGUAAGAAGAUUGAAGAGAUUUGACCCUAGUACGAGAGGACCGGGUUGAACAAACCACUGGUGUAGCUGUUGUUCUGCCAAGAGCAUCGCAGCGUAGCUAAGUUUGGAAAGGAUAAACGCUGAAAGCAUCUAAGCGUGAAGCCAACUCUAAGAUGAAUCUUCUCUAAGCUCUCUAGAAGACUACUAGUUUGAUAGGCUGGGUGUGUAAUGGAUGAAAGUCCUUUAGCUGACCAGUACUAAUAGAGCGUUUGGCUUAUCUUUAAUAAAGCAU